rnacentral:misc_RNA from 1 species
ACGAUGGCUUUGUACAUGCGCUAAAAAUAGAACUCAAUUAUGAUUCCAUAUCCGAAAGUUAAUCAGCCUCUCCGACAUAGAAAAACAAAUAAUUUCGUGUGCUUAUAAAUAAUGUUAAUGAAAAAUAUUUGUAGUAUUUUAUAAUUUGCGUGUGUAAUAUAAGGAAGAGCUGGUAAAGGUUUGCAACUCCGAACAGAGUUGAUUGGUGGCAUUGCAGCCGCAGGGAGGUUGUCUGCCUUGAGUCGUGGCAGCGGAGUGUGAGGCCACGGACACGUCGGCGCUGCGGGCACGGCAGCUUAUCCCUUGACACACCCGUUAUUCCUCCUCCACUCACACCGGCUAAGACUUCCUUCUCACUACUGCUUCUGUCUCCCACUAAUUCACCUCCCUAUAAGAGUAAAGAUUGAAGAAAUUAGGAAGCAAUGCAUCUGCUUUGGAAUGUCUUAGCUGCAGCAAUGAUUGGGUGUUGUAUUUUUAUACCACACCUCUCCAUAGCUGCAGAGGGUAACCAUAGUUCGCACUGGAAUGUUGACUGGGGUCCACAACCAGAAAAUGUCACAGAUUUUACUACUUUUCUGUGGUAUGGAUACUCUGCCAAUAAGAUUAAUUUCACACAAGAAGAUUUUCAAUUAUUUGUAGACUGUACAACGGGGAGACGUGAGUGUCCUCCAAUUAGCAGAGAGCCGGCUGUGUCGAUAUUGACAAACUGCAAUGAGAACAAAGCUUUAUCCUCAACUCAGUGCAAUAUAGUAGAUAUGUGUAGAGAUAAUGAUAUACUGAAAACAUAUGGUUUUGAGGACAAUAUUCUGGGUGUGGAGGAUCUACAAGCUCUGCUGCCAGUUGUUUUGUACCAUUCUCAUAACAAAAAUAGCUGCAGUCUGGAAUCAACUGAGAAACAAACUAAAAUGAAGCCCAGAUCUGCAGAGGUGUGGGGCUAUGGGCUUCUGUUUGUGACGCUCAUCUCUGGGUGUUCCCUGGCGGGGGUUUCGGUGUUGCCGCUGAUGGCACAUAACUUUUACCAGCAGCUGCUUACCGUCCUGGUUGGCUUGGCAAUGGGGUCUCUGGCAGCUUCGUCCCUCUUCCACCUCAUCCCUCAGGCUUUCAGAUUAAGAUGGGCUAAGACGUUAAGCGAUGGAACAUCGACCCACAGUCAACAUGAUUACUUAUUCAUCUCUCUCUAUGUUCUGGUGGGCAUGUGGAGCUUCUUCAUGAUUGAGCGCAUGAUCAAAAUCAUCCUCACUCACCAAGCAUCAAAGGAUGAUAAUAAAGCAAUUCCUGCAUCUCAGUCUGAACAAACUAUGCUUUACGAAAAUGGUUGCGAAUUACAGUCUUCCGACAGAGCAGAUAUAGGUGAUGAAAUUAACUGCAGACAAUCUUCACUUUGUAAGGCUGCAGGCUUUGAGAAUUCCAAGCUUGUGCCUCCCAACAAUGGCUGUGUAUCCAAUAAUGUGGAGUUGAUUUAUGCAUCUCAGGAACAAGCCAUCAAGGCAUCAUUUGGACACAAUGAAAGACCAAUGGUACCACACUCUCACAACACACACAUCGAGUUCCGACAAGGUAAAGACUCUGUCAUCAAAACUGUUGCCUGGAUGAUCAUCUUCGGAGAUGGUUUUCACAACUUCAUCGAUGGAGUUUCCAUUGGGGCAGCAUUUUCAGAAUCAUUAUUAACAGGCAUUUCCAUAAGCUUGGCAGUUAUGUGUGAGGAGCUACCCCACGAGUUAGGUGACUUUGCCGUUCUUCUCAAUGCAGGCAUGACAAUGAAACAAGCGGUUGCAUACAAUUUUUUAUCAGCAACCACCUGUUAUCUUGGCCUUGUAUUUGGCAUACUUCUAGGAGAGUUCACACAGGACAACACAGCAAUAUUUGCUUUAGCAGCAGGAAUGUUCCUCUACAUAUCUCUGGUGGAUAUGGUGCCCGAGAUGAACGAAGUAGCCAGUAAAGCGGCAGAAGGAGGCUGGAAGGCUGCUGUUGGUAUUCUCUUCCUCCAAAAUAUUGGCUUUUUCCUUGGUAUUGCAUUACUUUUCCUCUUAGCAUAUUUCCAGGAUAAUAUGGUUCUUGUCUGAUCAAAUUUCAGACAUUUCAGUUGGACAUGUUCUUUUGUCAGAAGAUGAGAUAUAUUUAUAUAAAUAUUGUACUGUAUGUAGAAUGAUUUAAAUUUAUUUAUAUAUGUAUAUAUUUAAGUAAAUGGAAGAUAUUUAAAUUUAUUAACAAGUAUAAAUACCUUGAAUAUGUGAUGAAAUGUGUACAGUAAGGAUACUGGUGGGUGCUUAAAAUUCUAGUGAUAUGGAAAGCAUAAGAAAAUUUAAGAAAAGUUUGAAGUGUGGAGGAGAAGUAGAGGAAGUUGAAAAAGAUGAGUUAUGGGGUGAAUCUGAAAGUAUGGGGUAUUUGUGGGGAAAGCACGGGAUGAACCCGAGAAAAUGUUGUGUGUAUGUGGGGAAUGCAUGGGAUGAACCCGAGAAAAUGUUGUGUGUAUGUGGGGAAUGCACGGGAUGAACCCGAGAAAAUGUUGUGUGUAUGUGGGGAAUGCACGGGAUGAACCCGAGAAAAUGUUGUGUGUAUGUGGGGAAUGCACGGGAUGAACCCGAGAAAAUGUUGUGUGUAUGUGGGGAAUGCACGGGAUGAACCCGAGAAAAUGUUGUGUGUAUGUGGGGAAUGCACGGGAAGUAGCAGCCAACAUGGGUAUGCUGUCUGUUUCGAGGGACUGAGGGAUUUGAAAUUUAUUUGUGGUACAGUAAUCCAUAGGUAUAACUUUUACACCAGGAUUGUGAACCAGGUGAAAUGCCACCAUGAAUGGUACAUAAAUCUGUGACGGAGCUUGCUUCCUGUGAGCAGCCCGGGUGUGGAGGCAAGUGUCAUAGGUCAAGUGUCACAACGAAUAAUUUGACAUUUAUAUUACAUACAACACUUCCCUUCCCUCCAGGGUCAUCGUUGCCUACCAAUUCUGGGAAAAUAAAUGGGGAUGUAUGCUAGAGAGGAUGAUGAUGAGGCUUAUUUUAAUUUUUAUGUAUUUUAUGAUUUCUAAAUGAAUAAAUACACUAGCCACCCUUUUUGAAGCUUUGACAGUUUUGUAUAUACAGUACUGUAUUUGAAAGAUGUUUUGUAAAUCAGAUUUGAUGGAGUGCUUAAUGUUUUUCAUUAUUUUAAAUAUUGAAUAGAAUUCCUAAAUUUAAUUUAUGACUUGUAUUUCAAAUAUUAAUAACUGUAAAUGCAGUUGGAAAUGUAGCCAAAGACUGUCUUUUGUUAUUUUGUAAUACAUACAGUAUAUUCAUUAUGAAAAGGCUCAUGCAGUAGACCUUUGUGUCCGUGAAAAUGAGAUAUCGUGUUUGACAACUCCUGCAGUUCUUCGAAAGAACUCUCUUAACAAAUUCAGUUUUAUUUUUUAAAAUGUUAACUGUUCUGAGCAUUUAGUUCUCAUGUAGGGGAUCAUGUAGGGAAUAUUAAAAAAGACCCGGGACCAGCUUUCCAAAUAUCAUUUCUUUGUACAGUGGAACCUCAGUUGACGACUGCCCUAGAAGAUGAAUUUCUUGGAACACGACGUCAAAUGUGUCAUAAAAUUUGAAUUGGAAUAUGACAGUUUACUUGAAAGACGACGUCUGUUCGUACGCGUAUGGGUCGAAUGAGCGCGUGGGGCGAGGCACUCUCAGUUUGUUUACAAGUCUAUCACGCAUAGUGACGCACACCACUGCGCUUUGAAUUCUUUGUGAAGAAUUUCUUUGUUUGUCUGCUAUUUUGCUUUUUUAACAUACACGUUCUUAUUAUAUAUGUCAUGCCAUGGGUCCCAAGAUGGAUGGUGAGAGGACUGGAUGGAUGGAUAGGGGGGUGAAUGGAUGUAUGGUGAAGGGAGACUG